rnacentral:rRNA from 1 species
AGUCCCGCAACGAGCGCAACCCUUAUCUUUAGUUACGUUUUACGAAACUCUAAAGAGACUGCCGGUGAUAAACCGGAGGAAAGGUGAGGAUGACGUCAAGUCAGCAUGCCCCUUACACCCUGGGCUACACACGUGCUACAAUGGCCGGGACAAUGAGUUGCGAUCUCGCGAGAGUCAGCUAACCUCAAAAACCCGGCCUCAGUUCGGAUUGUAGGCUGCAACUCGCCUACAUGAAGGUGGAAUCGCUAGUAAUCGCCGGUCAGCCAUACGGCGGUGAAUCCGUUCCCGGGCCUU